rnacentral:rRNA from 1 species
CCUACGGGUGGCAGCAGUGGGGAAUAUUGCACAAUGGGGGAAACCCUGAUGCAGCGACGCCGCGUGAGUGAAGAAGUAUUUCGGUAUGUAAAGCUCUAUCAGCAGGGAAGAAAAUGACGGUACCUGAUUAAGAAGCCCCGGCUAACUACGUGCCAGCAGCCGCGGUAAUACGUAGGGGGCAAGCGUUAUCCGGAUUUACUGGGUGUAAAGGGAGCGUAGACGGCAGCACAAGCCUGCAGUGAAACGUCGGGGCUUAACCCCGGAACUGCAGUGGGAACUGUGCAGCUUGAGUGCAGGGAAGGUAAGUGGAAUUCGUCGUGUAGCGGUGAAAUGCGUAGAUAUUAGGAGGAACCCCAGUGGCGAAGGCAGCUUGCUGCAGCGUAACUGACGUUGAUGCUCGAAAGCGUGGGGAGCGAACAGGAUUAGAUACCCUUGUAGUC